AGAGAUUUUGCCCAGGAUGGACCAUGCCCAAAGUCUCCUCCACACCUGAUUUAGAUUAUAUGGGCAACGAGAUUUAGAACUUUUGAGCUGAUGACACUUAGGAUGGUAGAGAGCAGUCUACAGCCUGAGACCCAUCACUAGGAGUUCCAAGAGCUUCCAGGAUGCUCAACACAUCCACGUGCCAGGAGGGCGGUGUACCCCAACUCCAUGGAGACAGAAGCUCCUGUGCUCAGGACCCUUCCCACCUCACCCUAGGCACCUCUCCAUCUGGCUGUACAUCUGAAUCCUUUCUACAAAACCAGGAGACAGCACCAUCUUGAAAAUAUGACGGACAACCUGAAGUGAUUCAGACUUGUGUAUUUGGCAGACAUUUUCUGAAAAAUGAACAAAGUGAGCCUGUCACUUCAAGGGAAACAACUGAUGCUAUUUGUUGCCAAUGAUAAAAUUUGAGCUUUCAAAUGAAAGUGAGAAUUCUGGAAAACUUGUAUCUGCCAUUAUGAGUUUAAUAGCUUCUCUGUAUCUUUGGAUAAGAUUGACAUUAAUGAAUGUGAUCUUUUUUAUCUUGUAUAAUGAAAUGUGUCAACAGUUGGAAGAUCUGCAUAACUUAGUGAAUCAGUGUUUUCCAAAUGACCAGUACAUCAUGUUACAAAAUAAUGCAUAAGUAAAAGAUCCAUUCAAAUUGCAAGAUGGGCCAAUGGGUAUUAAUGUAACAGAUAUGAAAAGUUUGUUGAUAUGAUUUCAUGUUCUACAUUGCAACUAAACUUUAAGAAAUUACAACUGUUAAAUUUGGUGUUAUAUCAAAGAAUAAUCCACAAUGAUCUGAAAAGGCUAUUAAAAUACUCCUAUGGUUUUCAACUAUAAAUCUACAUAAGGCCAAAUUUUCUUCAUAUACUUCAACCAAAGCAUCAUAUCACAACAGACUGAAUGCAGAAGCAGGUGCAAGAAUCCAACGGUCUUUGGUUUAGCCAGACACUAAAGAGAUUUGUAAAAUUGUUGGAUUAAUUUUUCCUUUUUCUUUGAGACAGCGUCUCUGUCCGUCACCCAGGCUGGAGUGCAAUGGCGUGAUCUCAGCUCACUGUAACCACUGACUCCCGGGUUAGAGU
rnacentral:lncRNA from 10 species